UAAUAUUAUAUUAUUGUUAACAAUAAAUUAAUUAAAGCAACAAAACAACCCGAAGAGCCGGUUCUGAGCCGAAAGAGCCAGCUCUUUUUAGUGAGCUGAGCCGAAAGAGCCGGAUCUCUAAAAAGAGCCGGAUAUCCCAUCACUAGUUGAGACAGGCCCACUGACAAGAAACACAGACCUUCAAAAUAAAACAGGAAACACACCAACUGAACUCUAGACAUGAAAACUUAACAGAGACUGGGGAGACAGAACAUAGAGUCCUGAAACACAGGACAGAAAGGCACAAAGAAAGCACAAUAUGGAACACAGGAAGCCAUAUAACAAAACCUAAGAACUAAAACCAUAAUACCCAUAACCGAACCUAGGGUAAUAAUAAUUAUAAUGAUCAAAACAGCACAACAAAGGAUUCAGAACAUAAGCCAUAAUAUAAAAUACAAAAGACUCAGAAAUGCUGGGUCACAAGGACCCAGAACCGUGGCAUCUAUGGUUCUUUUUAUGGAGGACCACAAGAGCCACCUGCAUCAAAAUAAAUAAUUCUGUGCUUAAAUAAUGAAUUCAUUUUCGAAUUCCACAUUUCAAAAACCAUUUUCAAAUUUCUUCGAAAGACCAUUUUCUAAUUCCAAUUUAAAAACUCUUUUUCAAUAGGCCUCUUGACCUGUGAAGUCCUCUCUGGGAAAUGGGUCAGGUCCUCUUCCUUAAAACACAAUUUAAAUGUAUACAUUUCUAUUAAAAUAUUUGGGUGAAGCUAAUAGGUUUUAAUCAGAAUUCUGUUAUCUUAUAACUCCAAAUUAUUAACAACUGUUUCUCUAAAUCUCAUGAAGCAAAUAAAACAAGUCUAUCCCAGUUCAGGUAACACUUGAAUAGAUAAAUCUGCCUAAAUUCAAUUGUGUAACGAACACUAACUAGUGUAGCAGCUAAAAGACAAAGCUGCUAAAAUGACCUGAGUCUUUAGCAACGCUAGUAAACCUCUUCUGUAAAUAUCAUGGGAGGAAAGAAUUGGUGAAUUGUUGUCUGAUGCUUCUAUUAACUAUUUGCAAUAUAAUUGGUCAUAGCCUAGGGAGCUUAGAAAGAAAAGCGUCUGGACGUUUCACCUCUCAUCCGAGAAGCUUCUUCAGUUCUCAGGUCAAAUGGUGGACAGUCCCAGAUUUAAGCCCUAUGGGAGUGUCCCCCAAGGGGGACACGGACCCCCUAUUGAUCCUCUACCUAAUCACACGAGCUGAGAUGUAAAAACGGGUGUGGGUCACAAUCAGCCACGGUUUCGGGUGAACUCAUUGUGGGCAUCCUAGCCUCUUGACCUCAGGAUAUCACGUGAUACGCCCACGCACGUCCAGGAAUCCACAGAAGAAGUUGUGCUUUUUGCUGAUUUUGCAACCAUGUGGAGUGUACAUGAGUAUAUAAACACUGGUGUCAGAGCUGUUCAUAACCUGCACACUGGAAGACUGAAGCUACUGGCUGACACUGAAAAGAGAGAAAGACCUUCUAUAAAAAGAGACACCAUGAAGCUGCUGGUUGUGUCUGCACUUCUUUGUGGAUUGAUGGUUCUGACCACUGCUACUUCCAAGAGUCACCUGGUCAAGAGGUCCACUGGUUGUCCUUUUGGUUGGACUCGCAACAGUGGUCGCUGCUUUCUCUUUGUUCCAAC